rnacentral:rRNA from 1 species
UACGGAGGGGGCUAGCGUUGUUCGGAAUUACUGGGCGUAAAGCGCGCGUAGGCGGACUUUCGAGUCAGGGGUGAAAUCCCGGGGCUCAACCUCGGAACUGCCUUUGAUACUGCAAGUCUUGAGUCCGAGAGAGGUGAGUGGAAUUCCUAGUGUAGAGGUGUAAUUCGUAGAUAUUAGGAAGAUCACCAGUGGCGAAGGCGGCUCACUGGCUCGGUACUGAAGCUGAGGCGCGAUAGCGUGGGGAGCAAACAGG